rnacentral:rRNA from 1 species
AGGAGAGUUUGAUCCUGGCUCAGGAUGAACGCUAGCGGCAGGCUUAACACAUGCAAGUCGAGGGGCAUCGUGGAGUAGCAAUACUCUGACGGCGACCGGCGAAAGGGUGAGUAACGCGUGAGCAACAUGCCCGGUACCGGAGGAUAGUCGAUGGAAACGUCGCGUAAUACUCCGUAACAUACGGAACCGCAUGAUUCUGUAUUGAGAGAUUUAUCGCUACCGGAUUGGCUCGCGUCCCAUUAGGCAGUUGGCGGGGUAACGGCCCACCAAACCGACGAUGGGUAGGGGUUCUGAGAGGAAGGUCCCCCACAUUGGAACUGAGACACGGUCCAGACUCCUACGGGAGGCAGCAGUGAGGAAUAUUGGACAAUGGCCGAGAGGCUGAUCCAGCCAUGCCGCGUGCGGGAGGACGGCCCUAUGGGUUGUAAACCGCUUUUGUCAGGGGGCAAUAAGUGUCACGUGUGGCACGAUGAGAGUACCUGGCGAAUAAGCAUCGGCUAACUCCGUGCCAGCAGCCGCGGUAAUACGGAGGAUGCAAGCGUUAUCCGGAUUUAUUGGGUUUAAAGGGUGCGUAGGCGGACUUUUAAGCGUGAGGUGAAAUGCCAUGGCUCAACCAUGGAACUGCCUCGCGAACUGGGAGUCUUGAAUGCCCCUGCCGUGGGAGGAAUGUGUGGUGUAGCGGUGAAAUGCAUAGAGAUCACACAGAACACCGAUUGCGAAGGCAUCUCACGAAGGGGUGAUUGACGCUGAGGCACGAAAGCGUGGGGAUCAAACAGGAUUAGAUACCCUGGUAGUCCCCU